rnacentral:lncRNA from 1 species
CCAAACAGUGUAUUUAUGGAAAACCUGGAGGGCCCCUCUUCACUUCUGCCGCCUACACAGCUGUGCUUCACCAUUCUCAAAAUCCAGAUUUUUCUGAUGAGGUGAAAAUUGAGCUACCAACACAACUCCAUGGAAAACACCACCUUUUGUUCUCUUUUUACCACAUCACAUGUGACAUCAAUGCCAAAGCCAACGCCAAAAAGAAAGAGGCUCUGGAGACGUCAGUGGGGUAUGCUUGGCUUCCGCUGAUGAAACAUGACCAAAUCGCUUCUCAGGAGUAUAACAUCCCGAUAGCAACAACCCUGCCUCCUAAUUACUUAAGCAUUCAAGAUCCUGCAAGUGCAAAGCAUGGUGGAAGUGACAUCAAAUGGGUCGAUGGUGGCAAACCACUCUUCA